ensembl:lncRNA
CAAACUUUCACUAAUGUGACAAUGAUUAGGCAGGGUCCUAAUGAACCAUUUGUUGAUUACACUGAGCGAUUCACAAAGGCACUGAAAGAAUUUGUGGCCGCACUAUGGGGGCCUGACUUAGAUUCUCCAAUCAUGCUCCACACUGCGCAGUUAAAUAUGAAUGCUAAAUUUACACAGUUAUUUCAUUCUUCUCUGUCAACAAUUAUUGACUGAUCUUCUUUUGUUGCAUGGGGGACACGGGCUCAAGACAUCGUGGAACAACAAAAGAAGGGACUGGUUGCUGCAGUUGGUCAGCCCUCUGCUCCAGCAUUUCGUUGUUAUCAUUGCCAGUGCGAUGGUCACUAUGCAAACAGGUGCCCUGAUCGAAAUUUAGAGUGAAAUUUCAGAAAGCCUAGUUCCUCUUUUCAACAACUGCGGACACCAAAACCACUUCCUCGAGAUUGUGCUUAAAAUAACCCUGGUGCAGAGAAGCAGGGUGCUGACAUGGAGGGUCAGAUAAAACAACUCAUAAAGCAGGUUGAAAAAUUGACAAGAGCCCUUGAGAAUACAGACUGACAGAUAGUGGGCUCCAUUUUAUAUGAACACGAAGACCCUCAUCCAUUUUUACAUUCUAACCUAGGAGGCCAGGAUAGCUACAUUCUUGUGGGCCCCCGGGUCUGCAUCUCAGUAACUGUUAUUAAAUUGCCUUUAACAAACAAACAAAUGCAUCUUCAAGGUAUAUCUGGUCGCAGUCUUUUCACACAGUCUCUAUUGAUUCCUCUAAUAAUAUAUCCAUUUGAACAGCCUUUUUGUGUGCAAUUCUGGGUUGGACAAAGCCAAGUUGGCAUGGCAAUGGGAAUGGAUAUAUUGAGUAAAUUGGAAGCAGAUGUUUUGCUGACUAGGGGUCAAUUAAUUAGUCAGUAUUUACCAAUUCCCAUACCAGUGUUUAAUAAAACUGGAAUUCCUAAAUUAAGCCUGGGAGCUAUCACAGUUAAUGAAGUCACAGGAGUCUACUGAUUCCUCAGUGAUACAAUAUUUCUCUGAGAAAUUUCCAAAUUUGUGGUCAACUUCUAAACUUGAUGUUGGUCUUUGCAGGAUUGAGCCUUUGAAUGUUUCAGGUCCUAUACAUCCUCCAGUGUUUCAGUAUCCUCUUCAGAGAGAAGCAGAGUGAGCUGCACAGGAAAUUGUGAACCAGCUUCAGGAAUCAGGGAUUUUGAUGCCGUGUUUGAUGGCCUUGGACUGUGCUGAGUGGGCGUUGAAGGUCACUGAGCCCAUUGUUGGUUACAAUCAGAUGAUCCUUCACUCUCCACAUCGUUUUCUACGCAUGCUCGCAGAGACAAAAAUAAAGUCGAUCUCAAAUCAACGACGUGCAAAAUGGGAAACUGCUCUCAUGAACUGUCAGCUCACUGUUGUUGCAGACAACCGGACAAAUUCUGCCUCCCUAAUGGAGAAUGAGGGGAGUGCACAUGACUGCGCCGAGGUAAUUAUCUGUGACGGGACAUUUUGUCAGAGAUGAACUGUUUCCAGACUCUCUGGACAUGUUCGUGGAUGGCAGCACUUUCUACGAGGGUGACACACACUACACGGGCUGGGCGGUAGUAGAGGGGAAGACGGGCGAGGUCUUGGCUGAGGGGUCGCUUCGGGAGGAAGUGCUCAGAUAGCUGAAUUGCAUGCUUUGAAAGCUGUCUUAAAUCUGGCUCUUAAACUAACUGCAGGUGAAAAUAGCUCCACUAAUGUAAAUAUUUUUACUGAUAGUGCAUACAGCCACCAUGUAGUGCAGAGUUAUGGCCCUGUUUGGAAACGUCGUGGGUAUUUGACCACAGCAGGUACGGUACGCCAAUAAGUCAUCAAACCGUCAUUAAAGAAAUUCUUGACACGUGUGAGAAAAUUCCACCAAACAGUGUCGCGAUAUGUAAAGUCACAGGUCACAGUACAUUCAAUGAUUGGUUGGCAAUAGG